UUGGGCUGUGGCGCCGAGGGUCCGGUGUGGAGCCUCAGGUGAGGGACCAGUCACUACAACAGCUGGAGAGACCAGGACAAUGGAGGCGGACACACACAUACAGCUCAGACUCAGGGUGACUAGGGAGUCUGCUGGGCUGCUCGGUGGUGGACCGUGUUCCUCAGUCACACACUCCCAGCCAUGAUGAUCUGCUUCACCAGAGGCCCAGAGAUAAUGGAGUCAAAGUGACCGUCGACUGAAACCUCUGAAAAACAAGAAGAGAAGCAGCACAGAAUGGACAGCUCCGGGCAGCAAAACCAAGAUCGGUUCUCAACGUUUCAAGAAAACAGCAGAAGAAAAGCAGCCGCCCUCCAUAAAGUACAGCGGAUUAUUAGUUUAAAAAAUAGUGCUCCCGGUGCCCUGCAGUGUACAGGUCUUUCCCCUUUCUGGGAAAGGGGCCCCUCGGACGGCCUGGGGACCCGGGUUCCUUGCUCAGAGCUGGUGGGGUGCUGGACCCCUGAAGCAAAGCUCCCCUUUUUGGACCCCAAGCCCUCGGCGUUAACCCGCAGCACACACAGAGAAACGCUUGGGCCGCUUUCCCAGAGAGCGGAGAGAACAGGCCCUCAGCACCCACCAGCGUUCAGGCUCACCUCUCCCUCUCCCUCUCCCUCUGCUCCUCCCGCCUCCCCGCCCUGCCUCCC